rnacentral:rRNA from 1 species
AGCAGCCGCGGUAAUUCCAGCUCCAAUAGCGUAUAUUAAAGUUGUUGCAGUUAAAAAGCUCGUAGUUGAAUUUCGGGAUUAGUACGCUGGUCGUGCCUUCGGUACGUACUGGUGUUACUGAUUCCUACCUUCUGACGAACCGUCAUGUCAUUAAUUUGAUGUGGCGGGGAAUCAGGACUGUUACUUUGGAAAAAUUAGAGUGUUUAAAGCAGGCUCGCGCUUGAAUACAUUAGCAUGGAAUAAUGAAAUAGGACGUUCGAUCCUAUUUUGUUGGUUUCUAGGAUUGACGUAAUGAUUAAUAGGGAUAGUUGGGGGCAUUAGUAUUCAAUUGUCAGAGGUGAAAUUCUUGGAUUUAUUGAAGACUAACUACUGCGAAAGCAUUUGCCAAGGAUGUUUUCAUUAAUCAAGAACGAAAGUUAGGGGAUCGAAGACGAUCAGAUACCGUCGUAG